rnacentral:rRNA from 1 species
AAGAGUUUGAUCCUGGCUCAGGAUUAACGCUGGCGGCGUGCUUAAUACAUGCAAGUCGAACGGAAAUCUUUUAGAUUUUAGUGGCGAACGGGUGAGUAACACGUAAGCAACCUGCCUUUAAGACGAGAAUAACAAUUGGAAACAGUUGCUAAGGCUGGAUAGGAAAUAAAAAGGCAUCUUUUUAUUUUUAAAAGACCUUUUUCGGAAGGUAUGCUUAAAGAGGGGCUUGCGUCACAUUAGUUAGUUGGUAGGGUAAAGGCCUACCAAGACGAUGAUGUGUAGCUGGACUGAGAGGUUGAACAGCCACAUUGGGACUGAGACACGGCCCAAACUCCUACGGGAGGCAGCAGUAGGGAAUUUUCGGCAAUGGAGGAAACUCUGACCGAGCAAUGCCGCGUGAACGACGAAGUACUUCGGUAUGUAAAGUUCUUUUAUUGAAGAAGAAACAAUAGUGGAAAAACUAUCUUGACGUUAUUCAAUGAAUAAGCCCCGGCUAACUAUGUGCCAGCAGCCGCGGUAAUACAUAGGGGGCGAGCGUUAUCCGGAAUUAUUGGGCGUAAAGGGUGCGUAGGCGGUUUAAUAAGUCUCUAGUUUAAUUUCAACGCUUAACGUUGUCCUGCUAGAGAAACUGUUUAACUAGAGUGAGAUAGAGGUAAGCGGAAUUCCAUGUGUAGNCGGUAAAUGUGUAAAUAUAUGGAGGAACACCAGAGGCGUAGGCGGCUUACUGGGUCUUUACUGACGCUGAUGCACGAAAGCG